GACGAACGCUGGCGGCGUGCUUAACACAUGCAAGUCGAACGGAAAGGCCCUGCUUUUGUGGGGUGCUCGAGUGGCGAACGGGUGAGUAACACGUGAGUAACCUGCCCUUGACUUUGGGAUAACUUCAGGAAACUGGGGCUAAUACCGGAUAGGAGCUCCUGCUGCAUGGUGGGGGUUGGAAAGUUUCGGCGGUUGGGGAUGGACUCGCGGCUUAUCAGCUUGUUGGUGGGGUAGUGGCUUACCAAGGCUUUGACGGGUAGCCGGCCUGAGAGGGUGACCGGCCACAUUGGGACUGAGAUACGGCCCAGACUCCUACGGGAGGCAGCAGUGGGGAAUAUUGCACAAUGGGCGGAAGCCUGAUGAAGCAACGCCGCGUGUGGGAUGACGGCCUUCGGGUUGUAAACCGCUUUCGCCUGUGACGAAGCGUGAGUGACGGUAAUGGGUAAAGAAGCACCGGCUAACUACGUG
rnacentral:rRNA from 1 species